rnacentral:lncRNA from 1 species
GCAACUACCUGUUAUUGUAAAAGCUUUACUUUCCAAGAACACACAGGGCGAUGCAAGAGGUUGAAUUCCAGUCUGCCCAUACGAGAUUGCGGGGAGGAAGGCCACGCACAGACCCUAAACAUUCUCAAAUUUCGACACACUCUCAGCUGAACGCUUGAUUUCGCAAAAUAGCGCCCACUAUUCGCCAGAUGCGAAUCUCUCUAGAUCAGGAAGAAGUUCCUCUAAAGCAAAAAGCAAAAACUCCUAAAAGAGUUUGCCCCUUAAAUUUUCCACAAGAGGGGCAGUUCCCCUUUAAACUUAGGGAAGACAGAUAACAGCAGAUGCAAAACCACGUGUCUCUCAAAACUACAUUUCCCAAGGAGCAUUCCGCCGAGCAUGCGCACUGGCGGCCCACUCACUAUAUAAGGACACUGCACAGUUGCUUCCCUCUUUUCGCUUUGUACGUCGUUGUGGUCGGGUCGAGUAAGGUAAGGAGGGGGUAGUUAGUAAUCCGCUGCCAUCCGCGCUGCUAGUAGCUUCUUUGUACAAAAAGUGGUUCUCUCCGUGGUUCCUCACAGUUCCCUUUAAUAUUCUUAAUCAGUAUUGUUGCUGUAUAACGAUGGUUAGGUACUGUGAGCGAUUAACCUCGAAGGGUGGUUUUCUUUCUCCGCCUUAGCUACACAGGCCUGUAGUCCGUUCGCUUCUGCACUCGUAUCUUGCGGGUUUACCGAUUAAGAGGUUAAACUGGUGUCCGUGAUGACUUGAAACUUUUUUCCCCAUCAGAGCGACUGUGUUGAUCUCUUUGCUGUUAGCCAGUAUCUGUCUGAGGCACCAGGGUAGAAAUAAAGAAAAUGGAGCGGCCGUGUGGUUCCUGGAGAUUAGAGGGCAGGGCGUUAAUUUUUCCACGUUGCUUCGCUUCCCAUCCAGAGCCAUGCUCCGAAUCCUGGGCCCAACUGACGGAGGAAGUGGAGCCCCUCGAAGCAGCAGCCACGAGGAUUUCUUAUCCGGGCUCCGUGGAUCUCUCGGCAGACCUCGCGUCUGGCAUGAGUAUGGAAAAGAAGCCAGAAUGUUGA